rnacentral:rRNA from 1 species
UACGAAGGGGGCUAGCGUUGUUCGGAAUUACUGGGCGUAAAGCGCGCGCAGGCGGUCUUCCAAGUCAGUGGUGAAAGCCUGGAGCUCAACUCCAGAACUGCCUUUGAUACUGAGGAUCUCGAGUUCGGGAGAGGUGAGUGGAACUGCGAGUGUAGAGGUGAAAUUCGUAGAUAUUCGCAAGAACACCAGUGGCGAAGGCGGCUCACUGGCCCGAUACUGACGCUGAGGCACGAAAGCGUGGGGAGCAAACAGG